rnacentral:rRNA from 1 species
AGAGUUUGAUCCUGGCUCAGAUUGAACGCUGGCGGAAUGCUUUACACAUGCAAGUCGAACGGCAGCACGGGAGCUUGCUCCUGGUGGCGAGUGGCGAACGGGCGAGUAAUACCUAGGAACAUGUCCAGUAGUGGGGGAUAACGCAGCGAAAGCUGUGCUAAUACCGCAUACGCCCUACGGGGGAAAGCGGGGGAUUCGCAAGAACCUCGCGUUAUUGGAGUGGCCUAGGCCUGAUUAGCUAGUUGGUGAGGUAAAGGCUCACCAAGGCGACGAUCAGUAGCUGGUCUGAGAGGAUGAUCAGCCACACUGGAACUGAGACACGGUCCAGACUCCUACGGGAGGCAGCAGUGGGGAAUUUUGGACAAUGGGGGAAACCCUGAUCCAGCCAUUCCGCGUGAGUGAAGAAGGCCUUCGGGUUGUAAAGCUCUUUCAGGAGGGAAGAAACGGUUACGGAUAAUACCUGUGACUAAUGACGGUACCUUCAGAAGAAGCACCGGCUAACUACGUGCCAGCAGCCGCGGUAAUACGUAGGGGGCAAGCGUUAUCCGGAUUCAUUGGGCGUAAAGAGCGCGUAGGCGGAUUGUUAAGCGAGAUGUGAAAACCGGGGGCUCAACCCGCGGCCUGCAUCUCGAACUGGCAGUCUUGAGUCUGGCAGAGGAAAGUGGAAUUCCCAGUGUAGCGGUGAAAUGCGCAGAUAUUGGGAGGAACACCAGUGGCGAAGGCGGCUUUCUGGGCCACGACUGACGCUGAGGCGCGAAAGCUAGGGGAGCGAACAGGAUUAGAUACCCUGGUAGUCC